UUGAAGCACUGCCUGUUAUUUUUCUAACAUACGGCUAUAGAGGUGAGAUUGGCGAACAAAUUAAAGCAUUGACCUAAAGCCAAAAGAAGGAGCUUAUUGCAUCUCAUUAUGGCGUCAAACUACGAUGAUUCGACUGAUCGCUUCAUGCGGGAGUACGCUAAAAUACGAGACAAAUGCUUACGCGAGUGCAUUCCCGCCACCAGAUUGUAUUCGGAGCUAAGACCCAUAGAGAUUCGCUGUAUAAAAUACUUUGUGGUUAAUGGCCUACGGGAAGCAGAGAAGGCAAAAAUCAAAAAAAUCGGGAGAAUCAGAGAACAAAUCUA